AUUCCAUGAUGGGGACAUUCUAGGAUGUAGUCUUGGAAGCGCUCCCAUGCUCCUGGAACAGAUUCAUCAUGUUGUUGCUGAAAACUUGUAAUCUUCCCACGGAGAGC
rfam:Sorghum bicolor cultivar BTx623 chromosome 5, whole genome shotgun sequence.